GCCUGGGUGGCACAGCAGUUGAGCGUCUGCCUUCGGCUCAGGGCGUGAUCCCGCGUUGUGGGUUCGAGCCCCACAUCAGGCU
rnacentral:tRNA from 1 species